rnacentral:sRNA from 1 species
UACUUGUGGUCGCCCCUUUCCUCAGGGCCUACUUGGAAGUGCACCAGCAGGAGCAGGAGAAACUCCAGGGGCAGAUAAGGGAGUCCAAGAGGAAUUCCCGCUUGGGCUUCCUGUAUGAUCUGGACAAGUCAAGUCCAUUGAACGCUUCCUGCGACGACUGGAGUUCCAUGCCAGCAAGAUCGAUGAGCUGUAUGAGGCAUACUGUGUCCAGCGGCGUCUCCGGGAUGGUGCCUACAACAUGGUCCGUGCCUACACCACUGGGUCCCCGGGGAGCCGAGAGGCCCGGGACAGCCUGGCAGAGGCCACUCGGGGGCAUCGAGAGUACACGGAGAGCAUGUGUCUGCUGGAGAGCGAGCUGGAGGCACAGCUGGGCGAGUUUCAUCUCCGAAUGAAAGGGCUGGCUGGCUUCGCCAGGCUGUGUGUGGGCGAUCAGUAUGAGGUAUGAGAAUGUGCAGGGGAGGGCUGGGUCGGUAGAGUCCCAAGACCUAGGCUGCCUCAUCCUACCUGUUCCCCCAGAUCUGCAUGAAAUAUGGGCGUCAGCGCUGGAAACUACGGGGCCGAAUUGAGGGUAGUGGAAAGCAGGUGUGGGACAGUGAAGAAACCAUCUUUCUCCCUCUACUCACGGAAUUUCUGUCUAUUAAGGUGACAGAACUGAAGGGCCUGGCCAACCAUGUGGUUGUGGGCAGUGUCUCCUGUGAGACCAAGGACCUGUUUGCUGCCCUGCCCCAGGUUGUGGCUGUGGAUAUCAAUGACCUUGGUACCAUCAAGCUCAGCCUGGAAGUCACAUGGAG